rnacentral:rRNA from 1 species
CGUUUGGUGGAUAGUUCGGCUCAAGUGCUGAUGAAGGACGUGCCAAGCUGCGAUAAGCCCAGGCGAGGUGCAUGGAGCCAUUGAACCUGGGAUCUCCGAAUGAGACUUCUUGAUGUGACGCGAGUCACAUCGAUCCUUCGGGAUCGGGAACGCUCCGAAUUGAAACAUCUCAGUAGGAGCAGGAAAAGAAAUCAAUUGAGAUGCUGUGAGUAACGGCGAGUGAAAACAGCAGAGUUCAAACCGAAUCUUUCCUCGAAAGAGGAUAGACAUGUGGUGUUGUGAGGCAGAUCAUAUACAGUCCAAACUGGUGAAGUCGAACUCAUCUGGAACGUUGGGGCAUAGAGCGUGAUAGCCGCGUAGACGUAAACCAGUGGAUCGUGAUCUGAUCCUCGAGUACCGUGGGUCGGAAAUCCCGCGGAAAUCUGGGAGACAUCAACUUCCAAAACUAAAUACAACUUGAGACCGAUAGCAGAGUAGUACCGUGAGGGAAUACUGAAAAGCAUCCAAAAGAUGGAGGUUAAAAGUGCUUGAAACCAAAUGGUGAUAGUGGGGUAUGGCAUGAAAGGAUCUUCGCCGUGAAGGAGGCAGUCGUGAGGCUGUAGUACGGGCGGCGUUGCCGAUGUCAUAUCAUACGUUUUGAAGAACGGACCAGGGAGUGUAUCUUGGUGGCGAGACUAACGCUUGAAAAGCGGAAGUCGAAGCGAAAGCAACACGCGCGUAGCCUGUAAGGGCAUGGCGCGGGGUAUACAAGUGCCCGAAGUCACUGGGGUACGACCCGAAGCCGGGCGAUCUAUGCGUGGGCAGGUUGAAGCGUGGCGAAAGCCGCGUGGAGGACCGAAAGCGGUACUGAUAUGCAAAUCGUUCGCGUGACCUGUGUAUAGGGGUGAAAGGCCAAUCGAGCCCGGCAUCAUCUGGUUCCUUCCGAAACAUGUCGCAGCAUGACCUGAUCGGAGAUCGUUAGCGGUGUAGAGCACUGAUUGAGGGUGUCGGGGAAGAAAUUCCUCGCCCCUCUGUCAAACUCCAAAGUCGCUAUCAUCGUAGAAGAUCGGAGUCCGGGCACGGGGUAAGCUCGUUGUCCGUAAGGGAGACAACCCUGACCGUGGUUAAGGUCCCUCAGUGUCGGCUAAGUGUUAAAAAUAAAGGGCGUCCCAGGCCAUAGACAACUGGAAGGUUAGCUUAGAAGCAGCUACCCUCUAAGGAGUGCGUAACAGCCCACCAGUCGAGGUUUGGGGCCCCGAAAAUGGACGGGGCUCAAGCCGACCACCGAUACCACGGAGUAUCGUAAGAUAAUCUCGUAGGAAGGCGUCCUGUUUGGGCAGAAGCAGGGCUGUAAAGUCCUGUGGACCAUGCAGGAACGAAAAUCCUGGUAACAGUAGCAGCAGAGUUAGGUGAGAAUCCUAACCGCCGAAGGGGCUAGGUUUCCUCGGCAAUGUUCGUCAGCCGAGGGUUAGUCGGUCCUAAGACGUACCGCAAUUCGAGUACGCCAAAAGGGAAACAGGUUAAUAUUCCUGUACCAUCCAUACUAUAUCCUAAAAGGACCUGACGCAUCCGGAUAUGUUGGGCAGUGCCGUCGCGCUGUUCAAGCACCGAAGCGGGUGGAGUGCCGUAAUGGCGAGAAGCCUCGCGAAUGUGUGAUGACGAAAGUCAACUGAGUCCAGGUGCCCGUGAAAAAGGAGUUUGGAUGUCCGUACCGAGAACCGACACAGGUGCCCCUAGCUGAGGAGGCUAAGGCGUGUCGGAUAACACUAGCUAAGGGAAUUCGGCAAAUUAGCUCCGUAACUUCGGGAUAAGGAGUGCCUGCCUUGUGAGAGGCAGGUCGCAGUGACAAGGGAGCUCUAACUGUCUAAUAACAACAUAGCGGAUCGCGAACCCGAAAGGGCUAGUACGAUCCGUGAAUCCUGCCCAGUGCAGGUACCUGAAACCCCGGUUCAACGGGAUGAAGGGCCUGUCAACGGCGGGGGUAACUAUAACCCUCUUAAGGUAGCGUAGUACCUUGC